GUAGGGGCGUUUUACUCAGAAAAUGGGGUAUGUUCCAACAUCACCAAGCCUAGUAUUCUGGAAACGACAGGUACAGACAUCAAAGAAACGUCGUCUGAAAACAUUCUUGCAGAUGACCUCGAAUGGCACACAUUUGUGCGAUAUCUACGUAUAUAAAACUUUGACAUUGAAUAUCUCCUGGGACUUGACUUUCAGGAAUAUUAAGCAUGGACGUUCCUUGUUUCCUCAAAAGGAGUGCGGAGGCUUUCAUUUCAGAAGGCAUAAAAUAUAAAAUUCCCUUUGGACUUCUCCAUUUUUUAACUCUUGGUUAGCCUAUCUGGCAACCUAUGGCACGUAUGGCAGCAAUAAAAGUUGUAAAUAUGUAGUCAAAAUGGUCUACCAGCAUAAAGCACAGUGGAAAAUAUAGCGUUAUCAGAGCUUAAUCGUAAUUGGCUAAUUGCACUGAAACAUCGGGAAAAUUGAAUCUUAAACAUUUACAGCUGCGUCCCGCUGGCUCCCCAAGAAAGCUCAUAGAGAAAUUCAACUGAAUAUGAAUAAUUGAAGUAUCUUUUAUGGGCUGUAAAAUUCUGCUUUCUUAACUACGCCAUUGGUAUGAAGUCGAAGAGGUUUCUCGACUUCCAGAUUGGAUGUUUUGAAUCUUUUUCGGGUCUUUCCGUCAUAGUUUUCUACAGGGUGAAGGAAAAACCCCGGAUCUGCAAGCUCUGCUGAGUGCCGCUGUACAGAUUCACAUGGAUUCGAUGUACAUGUGAAAUCAGUUAAGCUGCAUCUGCAUUAGGGCUACACACACUAUAAUGGAAGGAAAGUAAUGAACGAGAAAGAAUGAGUCCACAAAAGCGAAACGGGAGGCAAAAAAAUCAAAUUUUCCAAAUGCAGUCGCGAAAUCACGUGUUGUGGCUGCUUCAAUAAGAAGACAAAAAAAAUCUAACUUUUCCUCACAAUAUGCCACAGACAACAAUACAGACAGUCACUGGGGUCUACGAACGGUUUUCUAGUUUGUGGUAAUCGUACAGCAAAACCAAAUGUAAAUGUUGCAUUUUCCUCCUAUAUUAAAGAAAUACAACAAUAUAACAUUUUUUUCAAAA